UACAGAGGUCCCAAGCGUUGUUCGGAUUCAUUGGGCGUAAAGGGCGCGUAGGCGGCUUUGCAAGUGGCGGGUGAAAGCCCUCGGCUUAACCGAGGAACUGCCUGUCAGACUGUGAGGCUUGAGACCGGGAGAGGUGAGUGGAAUUCCCAGUGUAGCGGUGAAAUGCGUAGAUAUUGGGAGGAACACCAGUGGCGAAGGCGGCUCACUGGACCGGAACUGACGCUGAGGCGCGAAAGCGUGGGGAGCAAACAGG
rnacentral:rRNA from 1 species